AAUAAAACCCUAAUUUCUUUUCCUGUAAACUCACUACACUCCCCUCUCUAUCCACAGGACCACCACCACCUACUCCACUCUUCUCUGAUCUUCGCCGUCGCUGUCACCGUCCAGCCCAGCACUCGCUACCAAUCUCCGCCCAUCUCCCGACAUCGUUCUUAGCCUCUCUCUCCUCGUCGUUCAUUCGUAGUAUCCCUCUUCUCUCUUCGAGUCGUUCGUUAUUAGCCUUAGUACACCAUCGUUCUCUCUACCGUCGUCGUGGCACCCGCGGGCGUCGUCGUUCUCACUCCUCAGCGGCGUCAUCCUUAGCAGGCAUCGAGCUGUGGCGUGGAUCUCAGCGAGUUGAGCGUCGACGUCAGCGCCGUGGUGCUCAGUCUUCCCCCUUUAUCCUCCACUUCCAAAGUUCCAAUGGAGUCUCAGCCUCAAUGGCACCAAAAUGGUGUUGCCACUUAAUGAUUGGAAACAACCAGUUGGUGAGGCAGCUGGCCUCUUAGGACAAGCUCUUGGACAAUUGGGUGCCAAUUUCGCUCCUGAUCUCCAUUUCAAACCUUGUGAAUUUGAAGCAUUGAUUAGAGUGGUUCCAGAUGCUGCAAGGGAAUCUCAUGAUCAGUUAUACAUUGCCAUGGAUAUUUUUCUAAAGGAAUAAGUGAUCAUGAAAACAUGAGAAUAUGUUCCACAUUGAAGCAUGAAAAGUUGUCAGCUGAAGCUGUGAGACAUCUUAGUAGGAAAACUUAACUUAUUGCUUGAGAUUAGUUUACUUGUCAAGCAGAUCAAGUUCUGUCAGUUAAGCAUUGGAGAAAUUUCAUAAUUGCAGUGUUGAUAAUAUGAUCUGGAAGAUGAAAAUCUAACAAUGCGGUUAGAAACAUCAUCAAUUCAGACCAAUUAUUAAUAGCAGUUACUAGUUUUUUUU